GAGUAAGUUACUAAGGGCGCACAGGGGAUGCCUUGGCUCUCGGAGGCGACGAAGGACGUGAUAAGCUGCGAUAAGCCGCGGGGAGGUGCAAAUGACCUUCGAUCCGCGGAUUUCCGAAUGGGGCAACCCACCCCGGGUUACACCGGGGUAUCCACAAAGUGGAGGCGAACGCGGGGAACUGAAACAUCUAAGUACCCGCAGGAGAAGAAAAUAACAAUGAUUCCCCAAGUAGUGGCGAGCGAACGGGGAGAAGCCUAAACCGGUCUUGUUACGGCAAGUCCGGGGUUGUAGGACCGCGAAGUCUGCGAAGCAUUUUAACGGGAAGCGCAUGGGAAGGCGCACCGGAGGGGGUGAUAGUCCCGUACCGGCACGAAUGUUAGCGGUAGCGGUAUCCUGAGUAGGGCGGGACCGGAGAAAUCCUGUCUGAAUCCGGCGGCACCAUCCGCCAAGGCUAAAUACUACCGAGAGACCGAUAGCGAACGAGUACCGUGAGGGAAAGGUGAAAAGUACUUCGAACAGAAGAGUGAAAUAGAACCUGAAACUGUGCGCUUACAAGCGGUCGGAGCCCCUUCGAGGGGUGACGGCGUGCCUUUUGCAUAAUGAGCCUACGAGUUACUGAACUUAGCGAGAUUAACCGCCUCGGGCGGGGAAUCGAAGCGAAAGCGAGUCUGAACAGGGCGACGAGUUAGGUUAAGUAGACGCGAAACUUAGUGAUCUACGCAUGGCCAGGCUGAAGUAACGAUAACACGUUAUGGAGGGCCGAACCGGUAAACGUUGAAAAGUUUUCGGAUGAGCUGUGCGUAGGGGUGAAAGGCUAAUCAAACUGAGAGAUAGCUCGUACUCUCCGAAAUGCCUUUAGGGGCAGCCUCGGUUAGGUAUGUCAGAGGUAAAGCUACUGAUAGGAUGCGGGGGUUUCACCGCCUACCAAUUCCUGACAAACUCUGAAUGCUGGCAUAUUAAUUUCCGGGAGUGAGGCUAUGGGUGCUAAGGUCCAUGGCCGAGAGGGGAAUAACCCAGACCAUCAGUUAAGGUCCCCAAAUGCCGGUUAAGUUACGGAAACGAUGUCGUGCCGCACAGACAGCUAGGAUGUUGGCUUGGAAGCAGCCAUUCAUUUAAAGAGUGCGUAACAGCUCACUAGUCGAGUGGCGCGGCGUGGAUAAUAAUCGGGUAUCAAACCGGCUACCGAAACUGUGGAAUCCCGAUCGUAUCGGGAUUGGUAGGAGAGCAUUCCAACGCCGGCGAAGGCUCCGCGCGAGCGGUACUGGAGGUUUUGGAAGAGCAAAUGUAGGCAUAAGUAACGAUAAUGCGGGUGGGAACCCCGCACACCGAAAGACUAAGGUUUCCCGGUCAACGCUAAUCGGAUCGGGGUAAGUCGGGGCCUAAGGGGUAGCCGGUCAAACAGGCGGACCCGAUGGACAACCGGUUAAUAUUCCGGUACCGGCUGCAGGAGUGAAGCGGUGACACAGGAGUGAAAGGUCCGCGCGCUGACGGAAUAGCGCGUUGAAGGGCGUAGAUAGAUCAGGGGAGGCAAAUCCCCCCUGUUAUUCGACCCCGACAGUACCGCGAGCCUUCGGGUGAGCGGAUAGCGGCCGUAAUCAGACUGUCAAGAAAACCCGCUAAACUUAUCCUGCGGUCGCCCGUACCGCAAACCGACACAGGUAGUCGAGAAGAGAAUUCUAAGGUGCUCGAGUGAUUCAUGGCUAAGGAACUAGGCAAAAUCGUCCUGUAACUUCGGGAUAAAGGACCCCUCGCGAGAGGGCGCAGAGAAUCGGCCCAGGCGACUGUUUAUCAAAAACACAUGGCUUUGCGAAAUCGAAAGAUGAGGUAUAAGGCCUGACACCUGCCCGGUGCCGGAAGGUUAAGAGGAGACGUCAUCCCGACUUGUCGGGAGAAGCGUUGAAUUGAAGCCCCGGUAAACGGCGGCCGUAACUAUAACGGUCCUAAGGUAGCGAAAUUCCUUGUCGGGUAAGUUCCGACCUGCACGAAUGGUGUAACGAUCUGGGCGCUGUCUCAGCCAUGAGCUCGGUGAAAUUGUAGUUCCGGUGAAGAUGCCGGAUACCCGCAACGGGACGGAAAGACCCCGUGAACCUUCACUACAGCUUAACAUUGGUUUUGGAUAUAUGAUGUGUAGGAUAGGUGGGAGGCUGCGAAGCAGGCACGCCAGUGCUUGUGGAGCCAACCUUGAAAUACCACCCUUUAUCUAUUUGAAACCUAACUCCCCCGCGGGGAGGACCAUGUUUGGCGGGUAGUUUGACUGGGGUGGUCGCCUCCAAAAGAGUAACGGAGGCUUUCAAAGGUACCCUCAGCACGCUUGGUAACCGUGCGUUGAGUGCAAUAGCAAAAGGGUGCUUGACUGCGAGACAGACAAGUCGACCAGGUAGGAAACUAGGAUAUAGUGAUCCGGUGGUUCCGUAUGGAAGGGCCAUCGCUCAAAGGAUAAAAGGUACUCCGGGGAUAACAGGCUGAUCACUCCCAAGAGCUCACAUCGACGGAGUGGUUUGGCACCUCGAUGUCGGCUCGUCACAUCCUGGGGCUGGAGAAGGUCCCAAGGGUUCGGCUGUUCGCCGAUUAAAGUGGCACGCGAGCUGGGUUCAGAACGUCGCGAGACAGUUCGGUCCCUAUCUGUUGUGGGCGUAGAAGCUUGAGAGGACCUGGCUCUAGUACGAGAGGACCGAGCUGGACGAACCUCUGGUGUACCUGUUGUGGCGCCAGCCGCACCGCAGGGUAGCCAAGUUCGGACGAGAUAAGUGCUGAAAGCAUCUAAGUACGAAACUCGCCUCAAGAUGAGGCUUCAUUUGAGGGACGUUAUAGACGAUGACGUCGAUAGGCCGCAGAUGUAAAGCCAGCGAUGGCAAAGUCGAGCGGUACUAAUCACCCGAUACUUGCUCAA
rnacentral:rRNA from 3 species